UACGAGGGGGCGAGCGUUGUUCGGAAUUAUUGGGCGUAAAAGGGUGCGUAGGCGGUUUGGUAAGUCUUAUGUGAAAUACCUAUGGGCUCCAACUCAUAGACUGCAUGAGAAACUGGCCGGGCUUGAGUAUGGGAGAGGGUGAGUGGAAUUCCUGGUGUAGCGGUGAAAUGCGUAGAUAUCAGGAGGAACACCUGUGGCGAAAGCGGCUCACUGGACCAUAACUGACGCUGAUGACACGAAAGGCUAGGGGGAGCAAACAGG
rnacentral:rRNA from 1 species